CUCGUAGGCGGUUCGUCGCGUCCGGUGUGAAAGUCCAUCGCUUAACGGUGGAUCCGCGCCGGGUACGGGCGGGCUUGAGUGCGGUAGGGGAGACUGGAAUUCCCGGUGUAACGGUGGAAUGUGUAGAUAUUGGGAAGAACACCAAUGGCGAAGGCAGGUCUCUGGGCCGUCACUGACGCUGAGGAGCGAAAGCGUGGGGAGCGAACA
rnacentral:rRNA from 1 species